CAGCAGCCGCGGGAAUACGUAGGGUGCAAGCGUUAAUCGGAAUUACUGGGCGUAAAGCGUGCGCAGGCGGUUCGUUAAGACAGAUGUGAAAUCCCCGGGCUUAACCUGGGAACUGCAUUUGUGACUGGCGGGCUAGUGUAUGGCAGAGGGGGGUAGAAUUCCACGUGUAGCAGUGAAAUGCGUAGGGAUGUGGAGGAAUACCGAUGGCGAAGGCAGCCCCCUGGGCCAAUACUGACGCUCAUGCACGAAAGCGUGGGGAGCAAACAGGAUUAGAUACCCGGGUAGUCCCUGUCUCUUAUAC
rnacentral:rRNA from 1 species